UCAUUUAUUAAAUUUCGUAAAAGAAAUAAGAAAGGAACAAAAGAGCUCUGCAAUUUCAAGAUGGUUCGUUUGCUUUCCUUGUUCAACACUUCAAGUCACAAUGCUUCGGUUUGUGUCAAUAAAACUGAAGUUGGAUCUGCUUUUACAGAUGAAGGUGUUUAUAUCAACGAAGUUAUUGAUGAUUCACGGGAUAAGCUGAAGGGUAUUCAAUUGAAGUGUAAGUUUCAGGAUACUGCUAGAGAUAUUUACAUUUGGGAUGACGUAUGGAAAUUAAAGUUCACAGAAAGAUCUUCAGGUUCGGAGUAUGUAUUCAAGAUAAGUAAAACAAGUGGUGAAAUUAGAUUGGUUGUAACAGAUACUGGUAUUAUAAUUUUCAAUGAUUCAGAUGAAGCACUCUCAAUAUUUCCAGUUGAAGAACAUUAUAAGUUUUAUAAGAUGUUUUUUGAUCAAGGUAAAUGGGUAGUUAAAGCGUCGGAAAAUUGAAGAGGCACAAUGAAGAAGAAGAUGAUGAUACGUACAUAUGUACGUAUAUUUGAUUCAUAUAUUGUAAUUAUAUUGUGUUUAAUUUGGAUAAGUGUUAUAGGCCUCACAGCUCCCUCCCUUUCUGGUGCAGUUGGCCUAACUCUCUUCCAUCGUCUCCUGCUUUUGUGAGCCAAUUGUGGCUUAGUUUGAACUUGCUUUCCUUCUUGUUUAUAUCGUGCCUAAGCUUCGGCUUUAUGUUGGUUCUUUCUUGGACUUACAAUAGUAUUUCUGCUUCCGCUUUAUUAAUAAACUCUCUUUGGGUUAAAAAUAUAUUUUGAAUAAGUGUUCAUUUCGACUAUGCCAUUGUAAUAGAGUAUUAUUUCUUUAUGAAAUAAAUAAAGAGAAGGUAUUUUUGGUUCUAUAAAGGACAUUAUUUGUUUAUGUUUUGUUGGAUGUGAUUAUGUGACUAGGUUUGUAUUUUUUUUUUCGUUUGGAAUCAUAUAAUUGUUUUCCCAAUCGAUGCUCCUCUAUUAAUGACAUGUUUCUCA
rnacentral:lncRNA from 1 species